rnacentral:lncRNA from 1 species
AUCAUUUUCUCUUUAUGCAAUGUUCUGUAAGACCACUGUGUUAGCAUGACCAAUUAUUAGACAGCCAGAAUACCCUAACCCUGCACCCUCCUACGUGGCGACAGGAAUGUUGACACUCUGAUUGUGGACGUGUUCCCGGUGUUGGACACGCCAGCCAAGCAGGUGAUCUGGCGGUUUGUCUACCAGCUUCUGACCUACGAAGAGCAGGAGCACUGCCAGAGCAAGAUUUCACGUUUCCUCGGUUACAAGGCUGCAGCGCCAGCCCCCCCACCUGAGCCAGAGCCCGCCCCCGAGCCCCAUCGCCGUAGCAGCUCCAUGAGAGUGACAGGAACCGCCUACAGGGCCAGCAUGCGUGGGCGGAGCUCUGACGACCUCAUCAUUGGCACUCACCUGGGGAUGGGGAUCCGUACUGAUCCAGUGGAGAUGGGGAUGAGGCUGGCUCCAGGAGAGAGACAGUCAGGAGACGGGACGUCCCUCCCAGAGACCCCCAACAACCUCACCAACCUGUCUGCGGUGUAUGCUGAGCUGGAGAACGUGUACUCAGGGAAGAGGUCCAAGUCUCUGAAGGCUCGCGCUCCUCCUCCGGCGGACAGUCUGGUAGAGCUGGAGGUCCUCGAACACGCAGGCUCUCCGUCCAUGCACGCUAACACAGGUAUCUACUCCAACCGGUAACACUUUACUUGAAGUGUUGUUAAUCAUGACGCAUCCAGGAAAAUUUGGUUAAAAUUACGUCAUUAGGGCCUCUCGAGUGGCGCAGUGGUCUAAGGCUGUGCAACUAGAGAUUCUGGGUUCGAG